rnacentral:rRNA from 1 species
UACGUAGGGGGCGAGUGUUGUUCGGAAUUACUGGGCAUAAAGGGUGCGUAGGCGGAAGUCCAAGCAAGAUGUGAAAGCCAAUGGCCUAACCAUUGAAUUGCAUUUUGAACUGGAUUUCUAGAGUGCAGUAGGGGAGAGCAGAAUUCCUGGUGUAGGGGUGAAAUCUAUAGAUAUCAGGAGGAAUACCGGUCGCGAAGGCGGCUCUCUGGACUGUAACUGACGCUGAGGCACGAAAGCGUGGGGAUCAAACAGGAUUAGAUACCCUGGUAGUCCACGCCGUAAACGUUGUACACUUGGUGGUUGCCCUGCUUAGGGGUGGCUGCCGAAGCAAAUGUGAUAAGUGUACCGCCUGGGGAGUACGGUCGCAAGGCUGAA